rnacentral:rRNA from 1 species
AUGCCUCCAGAGAAGAUAGAGAUCGAGCCAAAAAACAUCGAUGCUGCAGCAGGAGAGAUACUUGGUGUUUUGGAGGACACAAGCAAAGGAAAUCUGAUCUACUUCAAGGGCUGGUAUGGAUUUGGAGCAUCCGCGGUUCUCAAUCUGGUAGCCCAACGCCUGAAAUCAUCAACAAGACAGAACAAGUUUGAUAUAGUUAUCCAUGUGGAUUGCUCGGUAUGGAAAAGCAUGAGAGCCCUGCAAAAGGCAAUCGCGGAGGAGUUGGAGCUUCCGCAUUCAGUAAUGGCCAUCUUUGAUCGGUGUGAGGAGGAGGACGACUUCAGUGGGAUAGAUGAAGGCUCCAGAGGGGUGAUAGCAGAUAUCAGAAGGGAAAUCUUCAGAAAACUUGUUAACAGUAUAUUUGUGGUAGUUUUUCACAACGGGAGCAGAAGGUACAUUGAUUUGUAUGAUUGUGGUGUCCCAAUAACAACAUUUUUGAGUAACAUGAUGUUGUGGACCUGGCACGGGAGGUUUCGGGUCGAUCUCGAUCGAAUACUAGAAGAUGGGGAAAAGGGAAAGAUGAAGAGUCAGACAGAUGUUCUCUUAUAUGCUUCUCCGCAACUUGAAGAUGAGGAAAUACGAGAUCUACUGCAUGAAGAGGCUUUGGAGGUUGCCAGGUGUGCGGGCAUUGUUAAGCCCGAUGAUAUAAGCCACAAGAUAGUCACGGAGUGCCUCAUAUACAUGACAAAAAUUGCUACGGACUUGAAGACACAUGCACCAAACUAUUGGAUCUGUGAUGGUAUUAUACAGGGACAAUGCAUCAGCAUGGGAUAUUGGCAAUUCUCUGCACAGAAACAUGUGCUUGGAUGUUGA